rnacentral:rRNA from 1 species
UACGGAGGGAGCUAGCGUUGUUCGGAUAUACUGGGCGUAAAGCGCACGUAGGCGGCGCAGCAAGUCAGGGGUGAAAUCCCGGAGCUCAACUCCGGAACUGCCCUUGAAACUGCAGUGCUAGAAUCUUGGAGAGGCGAGUGGAAUUCCGAGUGUAGAGGUGAAAUUCGUAGAUAUUCGGAAGAACACCAGUGGCGAAGGCGACUCGCUGGACAAGUAUUGACGCUGAGGUGCGAAAGCGUGGGGAGCAAACAGG